GACGAACGCUGGCGGCGUGCCUAAUACAUGCAAGUCGAGCGGACUUUCAAGAAGCUUGCUUUUUGAAAGUUAGCGGCGGACGGGUGAGUAACACGUGGGCAACCUGCCUGCAAGACGGGGAUAACUCCGGGAAACCGGGGCUAAUCCCGGAUAAUAUCUUCCUUCGCAUGAAGGAAGGUUGAAAGGCGGCGCACGCUGCCGCUUGCAGAUGGGCCCGCGGCGCAUUGGCUAGUUGGUGAGGUAACGGCUCACCAAGGCGACGAUGCGUAGCCGACCGGAGGGGGUGGGCGGCCACACUGGGACGGAGACACGGCCCAGACGCCUACGGGAGGCAGCAGUAGGGAAUCGUCCGCAAUGGGAGAAAGACUGACGGAGCAACGCCGAGGGAGCGAAGAAGGUCUUCGGAUCGUAAAGCUCUGUUGUCAGGGAAGAACAAGUAGCGUUCGAACAGGGCGGUACCUUGACGGUACCUGACCAGAAAGCCACGGCUAACUACGUG
rnacentral:rRNA from 1 species